UACGGAGGAUCCAAGCGUUAUCCGGAAUCAUUGGGUUUAAAGGGUCCGUAGGCGGGCUUAUAAGUCAGUGGUGAAAGCCUACAGCUCAACUGUAGAACUGCCAUUGAUACUGUAAGUCUUGAAUUCGGUCGAAGUGGGCGGAAUAUGACAUGUAGCGGUGAAAUGCUUAGAUAUGUCAUAGAACACCGAUAGCGAAGGCAGCUCACUAGGCCUGGAUUGACGCUCAGGGACGAAAGCGUGGGGAGCAAACAGG
rnacentral:rRNA from 1 species